rnacentral:lncRNA from 1 species
CACUCUUGAGGCCAAAUGGCAUGCACCUGAAAACAAUACGUGUCGCAAGGGGUGAUGAAAACAUGAAGAUCUGAUGAUUACCAAAGUAGGCAUUGAGUAAAGACAAUAGGUCAUAACCGACAGUCGAAUCCACAAUUUGGUUGAUUCACAACAAGGGGAAGGGAUCCUUCGGGCAAGCCUUGUUGACAUCUAUGAAGUCGAUCCAAAGCCUCCACUUC